rnacentral:rRNA from 1 species
UAGGGAAUCUUCCGCAAUGGGCGAAAGCUUGACGGAGCAACGCCGCGUGAGUGAUGAAGGUCUUCGGAUCGUAAAACUCUGUUAUUAGGGAAGAACAAAUGUGUAAGUAACUAUGCACGUCUUGACGGUACCUAAUCAGAAAGCCACGGCUAACUACGUGCCAGCAGCCGCGGUAAUACGUAGGUGGCAAGCGUUAUCCGGAAUUAUUGGGCGUAAAGCGCGCGUAGGCGGUUUUUUAAGUCUGAUGUGAAAGCCCAUGGCUCAACCGUGGAGGGUCAUUGGAAACUGGAAAACUUGAGUGCAGAAGAGGAAAGUGGAAUUCCAUGUGUAGCGGUGAAAUGCGCAGAGAUAUGGAGGAACACCAGUGGCGAAGGCGACUUUCUGGUCUGUAACUGACGCUGAUGUGCGAAAGCGUGGGGAUCAAACAGG